UGCUUUCACUUGAUGAGACAAAUAACUCUAUUCAGAGAAAUUGUGUUGAAAUCUCAACAUGCAUCACCAUCUGAAAACUUACGCAC